UUUUGGAGUUUGGAGCUGGUAUUGGUCGUUUCACUGGGGAAUUAGCGCAGAAAGCUGGGCAGCUUGUUGCCGUGGACUUCAUUGAGAGCGUGAUAAAGAAGAAUGAAAGCAUUAAUGGACACCACAAGAAUGUCAAGUUUAUGUGUGCUGAUGUGACAUCCCCUGACUUGAAAUUUUCAGAAGGAUCAGUGGAUUUAAUAUUCUCAAAUUGGCUUCUUAUGUAUCUCUCAGAUAAAGAGGUAGAGAAUCUGGCGGAAAGGAUGGUCAAAUGGUUAAAGGUUGGCGGGUAUAUUUUUUUCAGAGAGUCUUGUUUCCAUCAAUCUGGAGAUAGUAAGCGAAAAUACAACCCAACUCAUUACCGGGAGCCCAGAUUUUACACUAAGGUCUUUAAAGAGUGCCAUACCCAUGAUGGUUCUGGAAAUUCUUAUGAACUCACUCUUAUUGGCUGCAAAUGCAUUGGAGCUUAUGUGAGGAAUAAGAAGAAUCAAAAUCAGAUAUGUUGGAUAUGGCAGAAAGUAAGUUCACAAGAUGAUAAGGGGUUCCAGCAGUUCUUGGAUAAUGUUCAAUAUAAAUGUAAUGGCAUCCUACGCUAUGAGCGUGUCUUUGGAAAAGGUUUUGUAAGCACAGGAGGAAUUGAAACAACUAAAGAAUUUGUGGCAAAGCUGGAUCUUAAGCCUGGCCAGAAAGUCCUAGAUGUU
rnacentral:misc_RNA from 1 species